rnacentral:rRNA from 1 species
CAAUAGCGUAUAUUAAAGUUGUUGCGGUUAAAAAGCUCGUAGUUGGAUUUCUGCUGAGAACGACCGGUCCGCCCUCUGGGUGUGUAUCUGGCUCUUUCUUGGCAUCUUCUUGGUGAACGUUGCUGCACUUGACUGUGUGGAGCGCUACCCAGGACUUUUACUUUGAGGAAAUUAGAGUGUUUCAGGCAGGCUAGGCCGGAAUACAUUAGCAUGGAAUAAUGGAAUAGGACUACGGUCUCUUUGUUGGUUUGAGGGACUGCAGUAAUGAUUAAUAGGGAUAGUUGGGGGCAUUAGUAUUUAAUUGUCAGAGGUGGAAUUCUCAGAUUUGUUAAAGACUAACUUAUGCGAAAGCAUUUGCCAAGGAUGUUUUCAUUAA